rnacentral:rRNA from 1 species
GACGAACGCUGGCGGCGUGCUUAACACAUGCAAGUCGAACGGAAAGGCCCUGCUUUUGUGGGGUGCUCGAGUGGCGAACGGGUGAGUAACACGGGAGUAACCUGCCCUGGACUUUGGGAUAACUUCAGGAAACUGGGGCUACUACCGGAUAGGAGCUCCUGCUGCAGGGGGGGGGUUGGAAAGUUUCGGCGGUUGGGGAUGGACUCGCGGCUUAUCAGCUUGUUGGUGGGGUAGUGGCUUACCAAGCCUUUGACGGGUAGCCGGCCUGAGAGGGUGACCGGCCACAUUGGGACUGAGAUACGGCGCAGACUCCUACGGGAGGCAGCAGUGGGGAAUAUUGCACAAUGGGCGGAAGCCUGAUGCAGCAACGCCGCGUGCGGGAUGACGGCCUUCGGGUUGUAAACCGCUUUCGCCUGUGACGAAGCGUGAGUGACGGUAAUGGGUAAAGAAGCACCGGCUAACUACGUG